UUACGCCUUCCACAGGUUAACUAAAAUAUGGAUCAAUAAACCAUAUUAUAAUUAUUACAGCAUUUCAAUUAUUAUUUCUUAAAGAAAGAUUGCAACUUUUAUCAAUCCACUAUAGAGGCUUAAAUUUUGAAGUUGCACGGCUAGCUAUUUUAGCCUUUAGCUACAUAGAUGGACAAAAGUACUUGUAAAUAUAUAAUGUAUAGCUAAGAUAUACAUUAACCAUCCACACAUUUGCAUUCCCCAUCGACACAUUUGAUAGUUCCCAAAGCACAUUUAACCCCUUUGCAGUCGGUCAAAACGGAACAUUGAUCGUUUUGAAUUUGCAGGCCAGACUGAGAGAACUCAGGGAGAAAGCACAAGCAUUUCCCGUUAUGACACGUAGCCCUUCCCUUUGGACAGUCUUCUGCAGUAUCUCUACAGUCGGUGAGACUCCGGCAGUCGGCGGCGACGUUGUGAAUAGCAUUUGCGACUUCGCAUGUGCAGACGUGAUUAACACAAAGAACAAAGUCUGAGGUGCAUGGAUACGUCUUGCAGUCGGCGUUCGAAUUGCAUCGUUGAACAGCCUUAGCUGCUUCUGCUCCUGCAGCCACGCCUGCAGAUUUUAAAUAAUUAAAUCCACUGGAGACGGCCUUCAUAUGUAUUUAAAUUUACAAACAAUCGACUUCGACGAUAAUCAUAUAUUAUGGGAAGAGAGUUUGACUAAUUGGGAGAAAAGAACUCACAAAUGACCAAGAAGACGACCCGACUAAUCAUACUCGUCUUAAACGCAGCCUUCUCCAUGUUUUUCUUGUUGCGUCACGCUGUGGGGAUGUUUUUCUUUCAGUAAAGUGAGUCCGUAAUCUAUAUUUAUAAGGGCUCUCAUGCACAUUUCUGAUAGUUUCAUACAUUAUGUCAAAAAGCCAAAGAAAUCUGAAUAUAUCUAGUAAAUCAUGUAAUUGAUUCCAUAGGAUUUUAUAGUGUGUUUCCUGAUGUGGAAAUAAAAUAUCAUAUUUAGGAAACAAAAUCACAAUUUAAGAUUGAUAUCUGAUAUUUAAUUUCCUUGUUUGGUAUGGAAAAUAUGGAAAAGAAUAAAUGAAAUUUGGGAGUAUGUAAAUACAGUGUGAACCACUUAUUUUGUACACUUCAUAAUAUUUUCAAAAUGUAAUACAACAAUGUCAAUAAUUGUCAGUAAGACCUUCAACAUGACCCUUCUACAUAUCUUUUCUAACCACAUGUACAUGGACUAGCUACUUGAGACAAGGGUGUUUUUUUUUCCAAUCUCUACAUUUUGAAAAUUGACACACUCCACUAUUAACGUAGUAUAAUUUGUAACUAAGUCAAAUUUUAUUUUUGUAACAACACGUCUUUCAAGUAAUCACGUCUUCAUAGUAAUAAUACUAAUAGUCGCAACAUUAUUACUACAUAGAGGUUUUGCUCUAUAUAUGCCUAAAUUUUAGGCUCUAAUUUUAUAAAUGUCAGUUUUUACAAAAAAAAAUUCAAACAUAAUCAAAACCACACACGUAAAUAGAGUCAAAUACUCUCAAAAUUAAAAACAACAUAAACCUAAAAUCCAAACUGUACGAGUCAUACAAGUAGAUUUUUGGGAUGCGAGUCAUGUGAUGGUUCUUUGGGUCAAGUAGCUGUGAAAUCUCGUUGUGUUUGCCUGAAUGGAUUCUUGGACACAAUAUGUUUGUGUUUAGGUAGAAUUUAAAGUCGAAAUCUAUUACUCCAACACUUUCACAUUCUUUUCCAUGUUAGAUCUAACAUUUAGUUGUUGACAAUAUCAACCACGAAAAAAAUCAGGAUUUCAUUCCCAAAUCUGCAAAAUAUCAGGUUAAUUUCCUUAUCGUCAACUCUAAAGUUGGAAAUUAAUUAUGUCACUUGAUACUUCUAGAUUUCUUCAGCACUUUUAUUACCAGACAUGUCAACACUACCAUAGUAUAAAUAUGGUUCAAAGCUAGGGUUCAGCACUUCAUUACUACAUAUAUAAUCAAA
rnacentral:lncRNA from 1 species